GUACUAAAAGAGGCAACGCGGAGAUGUCAUUAGAGGAAGAACUAGGAAGCAGAGCGUUAAUGCAAAUGCUACCAAAAACGUUAAUGCAAGAUCUCAACUAAUCAGCACCGUCCAUUUCAUACUAAAAAUGUAAAAACCAAUCAGCAUCGUCCAUUUUGUCAUCUAAUUAUUUGUUAAUUCUUACUUGGCCACAACUUCCAACCACAUGACGCUCUUUCUCUUCCCUUUAUAUAUUCGCAUCUCAAAAGUUCUUGGAGACACAAAAUAUCAUAAACAUAAACAUAAACGCCAAUCGCAGCUUUUGUACGUUUGGCGUUUUACAAUGGAGAAGGGUUUGAAGCGGUCUUGUGUUAUGGUGGUGGUCGCAUUCUUAGCCAUGGUUCAUGUCUCUGUUUCAGUUCCGUUCCUAAUACUUCCUGAAAUCGGAACUCAAUGUUCUGAUGAUACAGUUGGUAACUUCACACAGCUUCUCACUAACCUCUCAGGCUCUCCUGGCUUUUGCUUAGUAAUUGGCGAUGGAAAUGAAAUAGCCGGUUCAUGGUUAAUACCACUUACACAACAAGCGGAGAUAGCGUGUGAGAAGGUGAAGCAAAUGGAAGAGUUGAGUCAUGGAUACAACAUUGUUGGAAGAGCUCAGGGGAACCUAGUGGCUCGAGGCUUAAUCGAGUUCUGCGACGGUGGCCCUCCGGUUUACAACUAUAUAUCCUUGGCUGGUCCUCAUGCUGGCAUCGCCGUUCUUCCUCGGUGUACUACAUCUGAUUUACUUUGUGGCAUAGCAAAUGGGAUAGGCAAUGGAGAUGUCUAUAGCGACUUUGUUCAAGAUAGUCUUGCUCCUAGUGGUUAUUUCAAAGACCCUAAAAAUGUGACAGAGUACCUGAAAGGUUGUAAGUAUCUACCUAAGCUUAACAAUGAGAGACCAGACCAAAGAAACCAAACUUACAAAGACCGUUUCACCAGUUUACACAACGUGGUUCUUGUCCUGUUUCAGAACGAUACGGUUAUUGUCCCAAAAGAGUCAUCUUGGUUCGGGUUUUAUCCGGAUGGUGACUUAACACAUGUUCUCUCUGUGGACAAGACAAAGCUCUAUAUAGAGGAUUGGAUAGGUCUGAAAGCAUUGGUUGUUGCUGGAAAAGUGCAGUUUGUGAAUGUACCCGGUAACCACUUAAUAAUAGCUGAUGAGGAUCUCGUCAAAUACGUCGUACCUCUUCUCCAGGACCAGCAGUCUGCCGCACCAAGACUCAACCGCAAGACCAAGGAGCCCUUGCAUCUUUAAAAAGAGCAAAUACCUCAAUCGCUAUACUAAUUUAUGCAGUAUCGAAUAAGCUGAUGAUUGUGUGACACAAGAAUCCUUCUUCUAUUAUGAAUAACAAACAUACCUAUCUUGAAUUAUGGAAUUAAUACGUAGA